rnacentral:rRNA from 1 species
CACUGACAUUAGAUACCCCCUGUAGUCCCAGCCGUAAACUAUGCGCGUUAGGUGUACUGGUGACCACGAGUCACCGGGGUGCCGAAGGGAAACCGUGAAACGUGCCGCCUGGGAAGUACGGUCGCAAGGCUGAAACUUAAAGGAAUUGGCGGGGGAGCNCCACAACGGGUGGAGCCUGCGGUUUAAUUGGACUCAACGCCGGAAAUCUCACCGGAUAGGACAGACAUAUGAUAGUCGGGCUGAAGACUCUACUUGAUGAUCUG